rnacentral:rRNA from 1 species
UACGAAGGGGGCUAGCGUUGUUCGGAUUUACUGGGCGUAAAGCGCACGUAGGCGGAUUGUUAAGUCGGGGGUGAAAUCCCGGGGCUCAACCCCGGAACUGCCUUCGAUACUGGCGGUCUCGAGUCCGGAAGAGGUGAGUGGAACUCCUAGUGUAGAGGUGGAAUUCGUAGAUAUUAGGAAGAACACCAGUGGCGAAGGCGGCUCACUGGUCCGGUACUGACGCUGAGGCACGAAAGCGUGGGGAGCAAACAGG